AAUCCUCUUAGAAUUCAUCUGCAAAUACUUCUAAAUCAUUUUUUUAAACUAAAUCCUGCAGUCAUUAAAUCCUUAAUACCUGCUCCAAAAUAAUAUGUGAAUUUCUGAAGCAUUUUGGAAUUUACAACUGUAUUUCUCUACUCAGAUAAUUCAACCUCUCUGAUACACAAGGGGAGAUUCUUAAAACAAUAAAUGGCUUCAUAGAGAAGUCUCAACCAGACUCUGGGUCAUGAAUUUGCUAAUGAUCUUUCUCUGGGGACAUUUGCCUCAAACUUUACUAUGUUUUUAGCUUUGUUUUUAGGUGCUAUUUUUCCUCCAAAAAAAAAAAAAAAAAAAAAAAAACCUUUU
rnacentral:lncRNA from 1 species